GGGGGUGGAUAUAGCUCAGUUGGUAGAGUGCUUGCCUUGCAUGUACAAGGCCCUGGGUUCGAUCCCCAGCACCCCUA
rnacentral:tRNA from 1 species